AAACUUUCAACAACGGAUCUCUUGGUUCUGGCAUCGAUGAAGAACGCAGCGAAAUGCGAUAAGUAAUGUGAAUUGCAGAAUUCAGUGAAUCAUCGAAUCUUUGAACGCACAUUGCGCCCGCCAGUAUUCUGGCGGGCAUGCCUGUUCGAGC
rnacentral:rRNA from 1 species